rnacentral:rRNA from 1 species
UACGGAGGGUGCGAGCGUUGUCCGGAAUUACUGGGCGUAAAGGGCGCGUAGGCGGCUUGGUAAGUCGGGGGUGAAAGUCAGCGGCUCAACCGCUGGACUGCCUUCGAGACUGCCUGGCUUGAGCAUGGUAGAGGCUGGCGGAAUUCCCGGUGUAGCGGUGGAAUGCGUAGAGAUCGGGAAGAACAUCGGUGGCGAAGGCGGCCAGCUGGGCCAUUGCUGACGCUGAGGCGCGACAGCGUGGGGAGCAAACAGG